UACGAAGGGGGCUAGCGUUGUUCGGAUUUACUGGGCGUAAAGCGCACGUAGGCGGAUUGUUAAGUGAGAGGUGAAAUCCCGGAGCUCAACUCCGGAACUGCCUUUCAUACUGGCAAUCUAGAGUCCGGAAGAGGUGAGUGGAACUCCUAGUGUAGAGGUGGAAUUCGUAGAUAUUAGGAAGAACACCAGUGGCGAAGGCGGCUCACUGGUCCGGGUACUGACGCUGGAGGUGCGAAAGCGUGGGGAGCAAACAGGAUUAGAAACCCU
rnacentral:rRNA from 1 species